AGAACGAACGCUGGCGGCAUGCCUAACACAUGCAAGUCGAACGCUCUUGGGGCUUCGGUUCCAAGGGAGUGGCGCACGGGUGAGUAGCGCGUGGGAACCUGCCCUGGAGUGGGGGAUAACCGAGGGAAACUUCGGCUAAUACCGCAUACGCCGGGAAACCGGGAAAGAUUUAUCGCUCUAGGAGGGGCCCGCGUCGGAUUAGGUAGUUGGUGGGGUAACGGCUUACCAAGCCUGUGAUCCGUAGCUGGUCUGAGAGGAUGAUCAGCCACACUGGGACUGAGACACGGCCCAGACUCCUACGGGAGGCAGCAGUGGGGAAUAUUGGACAAUGGGCGCAAGCCUGAUCCAGCAAUGCCGCGUGAGUGAUGAAGGCCUUCGGGUUGCAAAGCUCUUUCGCACGCGAGGAUGAUGACGCUAGCGUGAGAAGAAGCCCCGGCUAACUUCGUGCCAGCAGCCG
rnacentral:rRNA from 1 species